rnacentral:rRNA from 1 species
UUUUCAUCAGACAAUCUGUGUGAGCACUGCAAAGUACGCUUCUUUAAGGUAAGGAGGUGAUCCAACCGCAGGUUCCCCUACGGUUACCUUGUUACGACUUCACCCCAGUCAUGAAUCACAAAGUGGUAAGCGCCCUCCCGAAGGUUAAGCUACCUACUUCUUUUGCAACCCACUCCCAUGGUGUGACGGGCGGUGUGUACAAGGCCCGGGAACGUAUUCACCGUGGCAUUCUGAUCCACGAUUACUAGCGAUUCCGACUUCAUGGAGUCGAGUUGCAGACUCCAAUCCGGACUACGACGCACUUUAUGAGGUCCGCUUGCUCUCGCGAGGUCGCUUCUCUUUGUAUGCGCCAUUGUAGCACGUGUGUAGCCCUGGUCGUAAGGGCCAUGAUGACUUGACGUCAUCCCCACCUUCCUCCAGUUUAUCACUGGCAGUCUCCUUUGAGUUCCCGGCCGGACCGCUGGCAACAAAGGAUAAGGGUUGCGCUCGUUGCGGGACUUAACCCAACAUUUCACAACACGAGCUGACGACAGCCAUGCAGCACCUGUCUCACGGUUCCCGAAGGCACAUUCUCAUCUCUGAAAACUUCCGUGGAUGUCAAGACCAGGUAAGGUUCUUCGCGUUGCAUCGAAUUAAACCACAUGCUCCACCGCUUGUGCGGGCCCCCGUCAAUUCAUUUGAGUUUUAACCUUGCGGCCGUACUCCCCAGGCGGUCUACUUAACGCGUUAGCUCCGGAAGCCACGCCUCAAGGGCACAACCUCCAAGUAGACAUCGUUUACGGCGUGGACUACCAGGGUAUCUAAUCCUGUUUGCUCCCCACGCUUUCGCACCUGAGCGUCAGUCUUUGUCCAGGGGGCCGCCUUCGCCACCGGUAUUCCUCCAGAUCUCUACGCAUUUCACNNNNNNNNNNNNNNNNNNNNCCUGGAAUUCUACCCCCCUCUACAAGACUCAAGCCUGCCAGUUUCGAAUGCAGUUCCCAGGUUGAGCCCGGGGAUUUCACAUCCGACUUGACAGACCGCCUGCGUGCGCUUUACGCCCAGUAAUUCCGAUUAACGCUUGCACCCUCCGUAUUACCGCGGCUGCUGGCACGGAGUUAGCCGGUGCUUCUUCUGCGGGUAACGUCAAUUGCUGCGGUUAUUAACCACAACACCUUCCUCCCCGCUGAAAGUACUUUACAACCCGAAGGCCUUCUUCAUACACGCGGCAUGGCUGCAUCAGGCUUGCGCCCAUUGUGCAAUAUUCCCCACUGCUGCCUCCCGUAGGAGUCUGGACCGUGUCUCAGUUCCAGUGUGGCUGGUCAUCCUCUCAGACCAGCUAGGGAUCGUCGCCUUGGUGAGCCGUUACCUCACCAACAAGCUAAUCCCAUCUGGGCACAUCUGAUGGCAAGAGGCCCGAAGGUCCCCCUCUUUGGUCUUGCGACGUUAUGCGGUAUUAGCCACCGUUUCCAGUAGUUAUCCCCCUCCAUCAGGCAGUUUCCCAGACAUUACUCACCCGUCCGCCACUCGUCAGCAAAGCAGCAAGCUGCUUCCUGUUACCGUUCGACUUGCAUGUGUUAGGCCUGCCGCCAGCGUUCAAUCUGAGCCAUGAUCAAACUCUUCAAUUUAAAAGUUUGAUGCUCAAUGAAUUAAACUUCGUAAUGAAUUACGUGUUCACUCUUGAGACUUGGUAUUCAUUUUUCGUC